rnacentral:rRNA from 1 species
AACGAACGCUGGCGGCGCGCCUAAUACAUGCAAGUCGAGCGAGAAGACGUAGCAAUACGUUUGUAAAGCGGCGAACGGGUGAGGAAUACAUGGGUAACCUACCCUCGAGUGGGGAAUAACUAGCCGAAAGGUUAGCUAAUACCGCGUACGCUCCUUGGACUUCGGUUCAGGGAGGAAAGCGAUACCGUGGGUAUCGCGCUCUUGGAUGGGCUCAUGUCCUAUCAGCUGUUGGUGAGGUAACGGCUCACCAAGGCUUCGACGGGUAGCUGGUCUGAGAGGACGAUCAGCCACACUGGCACUGCGACACGGGCCAGACUCCUACGGGAGGCAGCAGUAAGGAAUAUUGCGCAAUGGGCGAAAGCCUGACGCAGCGACGCCGCGUGGGGGAUGAAGGUCUUCGGAUU